ACAGCCAUAUCACAUUAAAAUACUGGUUCUCAUAAGAUCACUAAAGUUAAGCAACAUUGAGUCUGGUCAGUACCUAGAUGGGUGGCUACUUGGGAACACCAAGUACUGUAAG